AGAGUUUGAUCAUGGCUCAGAUUGAACGCUGGCGGCGGGCUUAACACAUGCAAGUCGAGCGGUAACAGGAAUAGCUUGCUAUUUGCUGACGAGCGGCGGACGGGUGAGUAAUGCUUGGGAAUAUGCCUUAUGGUGGGGGACAACAGUUGGAAACGACUGCUAAUACCGCAUAAUGUCUACGGACCAAAGGGGGGGAUCUUCGGACCUCUCGCCAUUUGAUUAGCCCAAGUGAGAUUAGCUAGUUGGUAAGGUAAUGGCUUACCAAGGCGACGAUCUCUAGCUGGUUUGAGAGGAUGAUCAGCCACACUGGGACUGAGACACGGCCCAGACUCCUACGGGAGGCAGCAGUGGGGAAUAUUGCACAAUGGGGGAAACCCUGAUGCAGCCAUGCCGCGUGUGUGAAGAAGGCCUUCGGGUUGUAAAGCACUUUCAGUUGUGAGGAAAGGUGUGUAGUUAAUAGCUGCAUACUGUGACGUUAACAACAGAAGAAGCACCGGCUAACUUCGUGCCAGCAGCCGCGGUAAUACGAGGGGUGCAAGCGUUAAUCGGAAUUACUGGGCGUAAAGCGUUCGUAGGCGGUUGAAUAAGCAAGAUGUGAAAGCCCAGGGCUCAACCUUGGAACUGCAUUUUGAACUGUUCGACUAGAGUACUGUAGAGGGGGGUAGAAUUUCA
rnacentral:rRNA from 1 species